AGUAAUACAUAAGUAACCUGCCCUAGACAGGGGGAUAACUAUUGGAAACGAUAGCUAAGACCGCAUAGGUACGGACACUGCAUGGUGACCGUAUUAAAAGUGCCUCAAAGCACUGGUAGAGGAUGGACUUAUGGCGCAUUAGCUGGUUGGCGGGGUAACGGCCCACCAAGGCGACGAUGCGUAGCCGACCUGAGAGGGUGACCGGCCACAUUGGGACUGAGACACGGCCCAG
rnacentral:rRNA from 1 species